rnacentral:misc_RNA from 1 species
AAAACCAGUAAUUAAAGUUCAUAAGGGGGAGAUUUACCGUUAUAAAUUAAAGUUUAGAUACUUUAUUGUUACAUGUCCUAAGUUGAGGUACCGUCCAUAUAAUUUAUCCUAAAGAUGAGGAGUUCAACUUGUUUAGCCAAAGAGGAAAACUGUACACGCAACAAAUGGUUACAACAUAAAACAUUAUAUCAUGAAUUGCUUCAUUUUCUGUAAAUCUGAGACAACAUUCUAUAGAAGAAAGAACAAAGGGAGGGGGAAUCUCUCACUUUUUCUACCCUUUCAUACCUGGCUUCUCUAUAAAUUAGCAAGUAUCUCAACUUCUAAGAAGAGGCAGAAAUUUUCAGCCUUAUGAUAUUGGCCUCUUAUUGCUAUUGAGGCGAAGAACCUCAUUUACUAGCUUCUCUGGUAAUUCUUUUCUAGUCUGCAAAAUGGGAAUCAAAAGAGAGCCAGGCUUAGAUCGCAAAAUGCGCACCAUGAAAUGAUUUGAUAGAUUGAAGACUCCAAAAGGCUAACCUGAAAGUGUCUCAUGUGCAGUAUCGGUUCACAUCCAACAUCUGCAAUUGAUCUUCCGCUGGGAGUUUGCACUUUAAAUCGCUCAGCCUCAUAUGCCACAAUGGCAUUUUUCUCAUCAGGCAGGUGCUGGCAAACUUCUAUAAGGGAAUUAAGAGAGUUCAU